UCUACCCUUUUUUCAAGGUUCUUAGCUCCUUUGCAUUGGGUUAGAACAUGGUCUUUUAACUCAGAGAAGUUUGUCAUUACCCACCUUCUGAAGACUGCUUCUGUCAAUUCGUCAGAUUCAUUCUGUUUUUUCUUUUUGUUCCCUUGGUGGUGAGGAGUUUUGAUCCCUGGGAGGAGAAGAGGUGUUCUGUUCUUUGGUGGUUUCAUCCUUUUUGCGCUGUUUUUUCCCCAACUUUGUGAAUUUAUCUCCCUUUAAUCUUUGAAGUUGGUGAUUUCAGGAGGAGUCUCUGAGUGGACGUUUUUUUCUGUUGAGGUUGGAGCUAUAUCUUUUUUGGCCUGUAGAGGGCGUUGCUGGGCUCUCCCGGGUUCAGUCAGGUUGUUGGGUGGGUGGCCCUUCCCUGGAGUUUGUUUGCAGGUGAGAUUGGCUCCGCCUCCCAAUGACGUCUCUCCCAGAGCUCGAUCUUUCUGGUUGGGGUCAAGCUGUUGUAUUUGCUGCCCAGCUCUCUAGCAAGGGUUUCAGUUUGAGUUCUGUGGAGGUGGGGCCUGUCAGGCCUUAAGGUCUGUUUCCCUGCUUUCAACUCUGCCUCCCUCUGUGGGACGGUCUGUCCCGCUGGCGUUAGUCCAAACUACCCCCCAGGUCCCUGCGACAACAUGCUAGGCCGGCAGUAGCCGCUGCUCAGAUUUGCAUCGACUACCCACAGUGCCCCACCGUCUGGCAGGGAUCUCGUGGGCCGUGGGUUGCAGGAGGGAUGAGAGGCGCCUCGGCACGUGUGCAGCGACACCUGGCGGUGGCACUUGGAACUGCGGACGGUUGCAAAGGAGCGGACAGCUGAGAGGUGGUGCCGGCGAUGCGGGCCAGCGCGGGCUGGGCCAGGGAGACGCAGGUGGCAGGGACCGAGGGCUGCGUCCCACAGCAGCUUCCAGGACCUGGAGAAAAAUCGGUGGGUGUAUGAACGUGGAUGGCAAAAAUAACAUCUUUUGUACUCUAAUUGGAACGUAGGACGUCCUUUAAUUAUGGGCGCAAUGAACUGCAGUAGCACUAAUCAUUUCAGAGAUCGCGCAAUCUUGCUUUCCCUCCUUAGUACUCUGAAAU
rnacentral:lncRNA from 1 species